GCGUAAAGCGGACCAUAAUUCGGUGCGCCGCCCCGCAAUCAGGUUCGUGAUCGUGCUAUCCAGCCGCCUCGCUCGUCGUCAUCCGGGAGAGAGAGACGGUCGUGUGUGUGCACGCUUUUACUCACGUAGUUACUCGCUCGGUGCUCGUUCAACAACUCUCGCUACGUGCUACGCGGGAGCGGCGUGCGCGUACUCCGCGAUUCAUUGAUCUUACACGCGCUGGGUUUGAGCGCUGCUUCGAUAUUCGUAUAUCGCGCCCCGAAGUAACGCGACAGGACAGUGUCGCCGCGCGAAAGAGGACUCUCGGUAGAACAGUGGUGUGCCGUGACGCAGGAACGGAGCGACGCAAGAAAGAGAGAGAAUGACGAGAAGCGCGAUGCCACACCGGUAGCUGCUGUACGGUCAAGUCCUUCGGUUACUCUCAUUGUUCAGUUGUCCAGACGGUCUGUUUGGUUGCGCACAAACUCGUGGGAUCCUGAUUUGAUCGUUCCGGCCGUUACUCACGUGUCAUCCAGGACGAAGAGGCUGUUACUCAUUAUUUUCAACGGCUAGUGCGAUUAAGAGAGAAGACCCGAAAGAGAGAAAGAGCGAAGGUGAGACUGGAGUGACUUGAAAACGGGGAAGAAAGAAGGGAAAGCGCAGGAAAGAGGAUAGCGAGCAGAAGGCGUAGAAAAGUAAAGCAACAGCAAGUAGGGGUGAAAAAGGGAAUGAAAAACACGGACACGAGCCGAGGUGAUUCUAUAGGUGGCGUAGUCAGCAGCCAAGAACGAGGAGGCAGUGCGAGGCGCGAGAAAGCGCGGAUAGGGACUUCCAAUUUCGGCAGUCCACUUUCCGCUACCGGAUGUCGCGUCGGGGUAGCAGAGGACGGCAGGGCGAUCGUGAAAGGACCGAGUGAUUACACUAAUCCCCACUUGCAAAUACUUCUAUACGCGGGCACAAGUAAUAACACGUGUUAGGCAUCCAUUGCGAGCAAGUGCUGGAACGGUGGAGUAAACUUCAAGAGUGGGAGAAAACACCACGCGGAUUUUCGGCGUUAUUGGGUCGACAGUACGGACGAUAGAAGAGACACCGUCCACCAGCCGUCGUCAUCUUGUUGGG